UACGUAGGGUGCAAGCGUUAAUCGGAAUUACUGGGCGUAAAGCGUGCGCAGGCGGUUCGGCAAGAAGGAUGUGAAAUCCCGGGGCUUAACCUCGGAACUGCAUUCUUAACUGCCGGGCUAGAGUAUGUCAGAGGGGGGUAGAAUUCCACGUGUAGCAGUGAAAUGCGUAGAGAUGUGGAGGAAUACCGAUGGCGAAGGCAGCCCCCUGGGAUAAUACUGACGCUCAGACACGAAAGCGUGGGGAGCAAACAGG
rnacentral:rRNA from 1 species